rnacentral:misc_RNA from 2 species
CACCCCCCAAGCUUUGCUUGAUGUUGGACGGAGCGAGGCCGCCCGUCCGAAACCCGUGUGGCGCCGACUGUCGAGCACCAGCGUAGCAAGCAAUCGUUCGCUGCGUGCCUCGGCCGUCGGUCGCCGUGAAUCUACCUUACAAACCA